rnacentral:rRNA from 1 species
GUGGGGAAUCUUCCACAAUGGACGAAAGUCUGAUGGAGCAACGCCGCGUGAGUGAAGAAGGGUUUCGGCUCGUAAAGCUCUGUUGUCGGGGACGAAUGUGCAGUAUUUGAAUAAAGUACUGCAAUGACGGUACCUGACGAGGAAGCCACGGCUAACUACGUGCCAGCAGCCGCGGUAAUACGUAGGUGGCAAGCGUUGUCCGGAAUUAUUGGGCGUAAAGGGAGCGCAGGCGGGAAGGUAAGUCGGUCUUAAAAGUUCGGGGCUCAACCCCGUGAUGGGAUCGAAACUAUCUUUCUUGAGUGCAGGAGAGGAAAGUGGAAUUACUAGUGUAGCGGUGAAAUGCGUAGAUAUUAGGAGGAACACCAGUGGCGAAGGCGACUUUCUGGACUGUAACUGACGCUGAGGCUCGAAAGCCAGGGGAGCGAACGGGAUUAGAUACCCUAGUAGUCC